ACUUUUUUCUGUUUUUAACGGUUCUGUGUUUUGUUAUACACAACCAAACAUAGAACCAUUAAAAACAGAACAAAGU